AGAGUUUGAUCCUGGCUCAGAUUGAACGCUGGCGGCAUGCCUUACACAUGCAAGUCGAACGGCAGCACGGGAGCAAUCCUGGUGGCGAGUGGCGAACGGGUGAGUAAUAUAUCGGAACGUGCCCAGUCGUGGGGGAUAACGCAGCGAAAGCUGUGCUAAUACCGCAUACGAUCUACGGAUGAAAGCGGGGGACUCAGCAAUGAGCCUCGCGCGAUUGGAGCGGCCGAUAUCAGAUUAGCUAGUUGGUGGGGUAAAAGCCCACCAAGGCGACGAUCUGUAGCUGGUCUGAGAGGACGACCAGCCACACUGGAACUGAGACACGGUCCAGACUCCUACGGGAGGCAGCAGUGGGGAAUUUUGGACAAUGGGCGCAAGCCUGAUCCAGCAAUGCCGCGUGCAGGAUGAAGGCCUUCGGGUUGUAAACUGCUUUUGUACGGAACGAAAAGGUCUGCCCUAAUACGGCGGGCUCAUGACGGUACCGUAAGAAUAAGCACCGGCUAACUACGUGCCAGCAGCCGCGGUAAUACGUAGGGUGCGAGCGUUAAUCGGAAUUACUGGGCGUAAAGCGUGCGCAGGCGGUUAUAUAAGACAGAUGUGAAAUCCCCGGGCUCAACCUGGGACCUGCAUUUGUGACUGUAUAGCUAGAGUACGGUAGAGGGGGAUGGAAUUCCGCGUGUAGCAGUGAAAUGCGUAGAUAUGCGGAGGAACACCGAUGGCGAAGGCAAUCCCCUGGACCUGUACUGACGCUCAUGCACGAAAGCGUGGGGAGCAAACAGGAUUAGAUACCCUGGUAGUCCACGCCCUAAACGAUGUCAACUGGUUGUUGGGUCUUCACUGACUCAGUAACGAAGCUAACGCGUGAAGUUG
rnacentral:rRNA from 1 species